rnacentral:rRNA from 1 species
CGGGACACGUGGUAUCCUGUCUGAAUAUGGGGGGACCAUCCUCCAAGGCUAAAUACUCCUGACUGACCGAUAGUGAACCAGUACCGUGAGGGAAAGGCGAAAAGAACCCCGGCGAGGGGAGUGAAAAAGAACCUGAAACCGUGUACGUACAAGCAGUGGGAGCACGCUUAGGCGUGUGACUGCGUACCUUUUGUAUAAUGGGUCAGCGACUUAUAUUCUGUAGCAAGGUUAACCGAAUAGGGGAGCCGAAGGGAAACCGAGUCUUAACUGGGCGUUAAGUUGCAGGGUAUAGACCCGAAACCCGGUGAUCUAGCCAUGGGCAGGUUGAAGGUUGGGUAACACUAACUGGAGGACCGAACCGACUAAUGUUGAAAAAUUAGCGGAUGACUUGUGGCUGGGGGUGAAAGGCCAAUCAAACCGGGAGAUAGCUGGUUCUCCCCGAAAGCUAUUUAGGUAGCGCCUCGUGAAUUCAUCUCCGGGGGUAGAGCACUGUUUCGGCAAGGGGGUCAUCCCGACUUACCAACCCGAUGCAAACUGCGAAUACCGGAGAAUGUUAUCACGGGAGACACACGGCGGGUGCUAACGUCCGUCGUGAAGAGGGAAACAACCCAGACCGCCAGCUAAGGUCCCAAAGUCAUGGUUAAGUGGGAAACGAUGUGGGAAGGCCCAGACAGCCAGGAUGUUGGCUUAGAAGCAGCCAUCAUUUAAAGAAAGCGUAAUAGCUCACUGGUCGAGUCGGCCUGCGCGGAAGAUGUAACGGGGCUAAACCAUGCACCGAAGCUGCGGCAGCGACGCUGAUGCGUUGUUGGGUAGGGGAGCGUUCUGUAAGCCUGUGAAGGUGUGCUGUGAGGCAUGCUGGAGGUAUCAGAAGUGCGAAUGCUGACAUAAGUAACGAUAAAGCGGGUGAAAAGCCCGCUCGCCGGAAGACCAAGGGUUCCUGUCCAACGUUAAUCGGGGCAGGGUGAGUCGACCCCUAAGGCGAGGCCGAAAGGCGUAGUCGAUGGGAAACAGGUUAAUAUUCCUGUACUUGGUGUUACUGCGAAGGGGGGACGGAGAAGGCUAUGUUGGCCGGGCGACGGUUGUCCCGGUUUAAGCGUGUAGGCUGGUUUUCCAGGCAAAUCCGGAAAAUCAAGGCUGAGGCGUGAUGACGAGGCACUACGGUGCUGAAGCAACAA